UACGUAGGCAGCAAGCGUUGUUCGGAAUUACUGGGCGUAAAGAGUGUGUAGGCGGUGCUCUAAGUCUGUUGUGAAAUCUCCCGGCUUAACCGGGAGGGUGCGGCGGAAACUGGAGUGCUUGAGGGUGGGAGAGGUAAGCGGAAUUCCUGGUGUAGCGGUGAAAUGCGUAGAUAUCAGGAGGAACACCUGUGGUGUAGACAGCUUACUGGACCACUUCUGACGCUGAGACACGAAAGCGUGAGUAGCAAACAGG
rnacentral:rRNA from 1 species